rnacentral:rRNA from 1 species
UACGAAGGGUGCAAGCGUUAAUCGGAAUUACUGGGCGUAAAGGGCGCGUAGGCGGUUGUUUAAGUCUGGCGUGAAAUCCCCGGGCUCAACCUGGGAAUGGCGAUGGAUACUGGGCAGCUAGAGUGUGUCAGAGGAUGGUGGAAUUCCCGGUGUAGCGGUGAAAUGCGUAGAGAUCGGGAGGAACAUCAGUGGCGAAGGCGGCCAUCUGGGACAACACUGACGCUGAAGCACGAAAGCGUGGGGAGCAAACAGG